GGAAGCAUCCAGCACAGAAGAAAGAUGAAGGCCUGGAUGACUCAGCAAGUUGACUCAUUCCGUUUUCUUUGGCCUACUUUUCCUAGCUGGGCUGGCAGCCGAUUGGAUGGUGCCCUCCCCAGAUUGAGGGUGGGUCUGCUGCUCCCAGUGCACUGACUCAGAUGUGAAUCUCCUCUGGCAAUGCCCUCUCAGACACACCUAGCAACAAUAUUUUGCAUUCUUGUAUUCAAUCAAGUUGAUACUUAAUAUUUGCCAUCCCAACAUUGAAACCUCCUUUGCAGAAUUAUAAGUAAGGAGAGAAAUCAAACAUGACUGACUCCAUCUUGCUUCCAGCCUCACUGCUACAUUUGGUUGUGUGUUGUGUGUUUUCUGUUUUAUUUAUUUAUUUAUUUUUUUCUUAUUCCAGCACAGAGACCAAGAUAACUAUGAGAGGAAUUUAACUUAUAGUUCAACUUGCAGACAAGGGAAACUGACCCUCCUUCUUGUCCAGAGAUUGAAGCCACAUUCAUAAGUGGAUAAAGAAUUCUGGACCAGGCACAGUGGCUCACACCUGUAAUCCCAACACUUUGGGAGGCCGAGGUGGGCAGAUCACAAGGUCAGGAGUUCGAGAUGAGCCUGGCCAACACAGUGAAACCCUGUGUCUACUAAAAAUACAAAAAUUAGCUGGGCUUGGUGGUGCAUGCCUGUAGUCCCAGCUACCAGGGAGCCUGUGGCAGGAGAAUUGCUUGAACCUGGAAGGCGGAGGUUGUGGUGAGCCAAGAUCGCACCACUGCACUCCAGCCUGGGCAACAGAGAAAGACUUUGCCUAAAAAAAAAAAAAAAUUCUGGAUGCUCAGAACAUUUUUUCUCUCACAAUUUGCUUGUGUUUUUUUAGUGCAUUCUUAAUUACUGUUUAUAUUGAGAUCUUAACAUAAUUUCUAUUUGCUAAACGAAAACUUGAGCCAAGUACAAGAAAAAACUUAUAAUGUCACAGGCAUAGCUCAAGUCCUUUUUUGUUAGCUGAGUUGAUUGAGGCAUAAUGUACAUACAGUAAACUCCAUCCGUUCCGUGCACUGAACUUGUUGUGUGAGUUAGAGAUUGGAUCCUUUCUUUCUCGAUGCACGUGUCAGCCACGGUGUUGCAUGUGUCAGAUCGUCCCUUUUCAUUGCCGAGCAGGACUUUGCUGAUGACUGUACUGCCAUUAGUUUCUCCAUCCACCUGCUGAAGGACAUUGGGUCAGUGUGGCCCUGCCUUUCCCUGCCUGCUCUCCCUACACUCCUGCCCUCUGUCUUGUGGUUUCUCCCCAUCUCUCCUGCCUCUCUCUGUCAUCUCUCUUGUCUCUCCUCACAUUCUCUAGUCUCUCCUCACCUCACCCCUUUCUCCCUUUCUCCUCAUACUCUUCUCAAUGCUUCCCACUUCUCCCCAUCUCUCCCAGACUGUAUUACUCCAUUCUCACACUGCUAUAAAGCUACUACCUGAGAUUGGGUAAUUUAUAAACAAAAGAGAUUAAUUGUCUCACAGUUCCAUAUGGCUGGGGAGGCCUCGGGAAACUCGACUUCAAUUAUCAUGGUGGAAAGCAAAGGGGGAAGCAAAGGCAUGUCAUACAUGGCAGCAGGAGAGCAAGACGGGAGACGUGCCACAUUUUUAAACCAUCAGAUCUCAUGAGAAUUCACUCACUAUCAUGAGAACAGCAUGAAGGAACCACCCCCAUCAUCCAAUCACCUCCCACCAGGUCCUUCUCCUGACAUGUAGGAUUACAAUUCGAGAUGAGAUUUGAGUGGGGACACAGAGCCAAAGCAUAUCACAGACUCUCCCAGUUUCCAUUCUCUCUCCCUCUCUCUCCAGCCUUCUCUCCCUCUCUCAUUUCUUCCCUCCAAGCCACUCUUUCUUCUCUCUCCCAGGCUGGGCCUCAGCCUACCCCUCCCAGUCUCUCCUGAUUCCUCUUCUGUCUCCCAGUCUCUCCCCUACUCUGUCUCUCUCUUCUUUCUGCAGACUUUUUUUUUUUUUUUUUUAGAUGGAGUCUCACUCUGUCACCCAGGCUGCAGUACAAUGGGGUGAUCUCUGCUCACUGCAACCUCCGCCUCCUGGGUUCAAGCAAUUCUCCUGUCUCAGCCUUCCGAGUAGCUGGGAUUACAGGUGCCUGACACCACGCCUGGCUAAUUUUUGUAUUUUUAGUAGAGAUGAAGUUUCAUGAUGUUGGCCAGGCUGGUCUUGAACUCCUGACCUCAGGUGAUCUGCCUGCCUCGGCCUUCCAAAGUGCUGGGAUUACAAGCAUGAGCCACCACGCCCAGCCUUGCAGACUCUUGUCACAGGUUUCUCCUUGUCUUUCGCUUCUGUACUAAUUCCUCAGUCCCAUCACUCCCAUGCUUCUCUAAUUUCUCCAGCCUUCUAGGUUUUCAGCAUUUUUUCCCCUUCUAGUUGCAUCGGUUUUUGCCCCCAAAAUUGGUUAUUUCCUUUUUGAGUUCCUAUUUGAUUUAAGGGAUAUCUGUCAGCAUAUUUCUUAAUUUUCCAGUGAUGAUGGAGAUCACAUUUUCUCAUUAUUUAAUUCUAAUUUUAUUGGACACACUUCUAAUUUUGUUCUGGUAAGGUUUUCAUUGCAUUCAACACAUGUAUAAUUUUGCUUGUGGGUCAUAAUCAACCACAAAAUGCAUGGUGUCUACUUGGGUAGUUCAAAAUUAUAUGUGCCUCUCUCUUUCUUUCAAUGUCACUGCUUUCCUUUUUCUUUUUUUUUCUUUUUUAAUUAUACUUUAAGUUCUGGGGUACAUGUGCAGAAAGUGCAGGUUUGUUACAUAGGUAUACAUGUGCCAUGGUGGUUUGCUGCACCCAUCAACCCGUCAUCUACAUUAGGUAUUUCUCCUAAUGCUAUCCCUUCCCCAGUCCCCCACCCCCCGACAGGCUCCGGUGUGUGAUGUUCCCCUCCUUGUGUCCAUGUGUUGUCAUUGUUCAACUCCCACUUAUGAGUGAGAACAUGCGGUGUUUAGUUUUCUGUUCUUAUGUUAGUUUGCUGAGAAUGAUGGUUUCCAGCUUCAUCCAUGUUCCUGCAAAGCCUUUUUUAUGGCUACAUAGUAUUCCAUGUUAUGUAUGUGCCACAUUUUCUUUAUCCAGUCUAUCAUUGAUGGGCAUUUGGGUUGGUUCCAAGUCUUUGCUAUUGUGAACAGUGCCACAAUAAACAUACAUGUGCAUGUGUGUUUAUAGUAGAAUGAUUUAUAAUCCUUUGGGUAUAUACCCAGUAAUGGGAUUGCUGGGUCAAAUGGUGUUUCUAGUUCUAGAUCCUUGAGGAAUCGCCACAUUGUCUUCCACAAUGGUUAAACUAAUUUAUACUCCCACCAACAGUAUAAAAGCAUUCCUAUUUCUCCACAUCUUCUGUUGUUUCCUGACUUUUUAAUGAUUGCUGUUCUAACUGGCGUCAGAUGGUAUCUCAUUGUGGUUUUGAUUUGCAUUUCUCUGAUGACUAGUGAUGAUGAGCAUUUUUCCGUGUGUCUGUUGGCUGCGUAAAUGUCUUCUUUUGAGAAGUGUCUGUACAUGUCCUUUGCCUACUUUUUGAUGGGGUUUUUGUUUUUUUCUUGUAAAUUUGUUUAAGUUCUUUGUAGAUUCUGGAUAUUAGCUCUUUGUCAGAUGGACAGAUUGCAAAAUUUUUCUCCCAUUCUAUAGGUUGUCUGUUCACUCUGCUGAUAGUUUCUUCCUUUUUUCUACCCCCCUCCCUCUCAGUUCCUCUCUUCUUCUCUGGGCAGCUGCUCCUCUCUCUGCCUGCCAGCUCAGUCUCCUUGUGUCUACUGCCCUUCCUUAGGGUGGGCCAUGCCUCCAGUCCAGCCUGGGGAAGGGCCACUGUGGGUGCUCAGAAUCAGAGACAUGGGGAGGAGGCAAUGAUGGGGAGAUUUAGGCACCCGCCUUCACUCCUGCUCCCUUAGAAAAUCCAGAUAGCAGCUGCCAAAUCAAGGAACCUGGGCUCUUCCCUCUGCUGGAUAAAGGUGGGGACUGUAGGGUGGUGUGGGAGUCUAGCAGUCACACAGCGUGGUCAGAGCCAAUACUGGGCACCUCUCUUUCUAAAAGUUGGAUGUGAGGAGACCUGGUCCUUAAUUUCUUCUGAAGAGAAGCCUGUUUAUUCCCAGAGCUUUGAAAAUACCGGACCUGGUUAAUAUACCCAGUCUAUACAGUGAGCUUGGAUCAUUGAGGUUGUUUUAUUAUUGUUGUUGUUAUUAUUACUGAUGUUUAUUGUUGUUAUAACAUUGACUAAAGUUUAUCCAUGAAAUGGGUUUGAUUUACUGAAGUUGACGACAGAGGGUCCCCUACACACACCUCGCACCCCGGCCUCCCAAGGUCAUGCACAUGCCAGGCAGGCAGUCCUGUGAGCCCCGGGAAAUUUUUAAGACUCACUCUGAAGGAAGGGACAGAUCAGUGAUGGCCUGAGAGGCCUAUGGUGGGCGUCAUCGGCCCGGCCUCGGUCCCAUCUGGUGCUGGGUAGUCUUUACGAGACUCUAGGAAAAUUUCCUAAUCGUUCUCCAGGUCUCGGGAACCUCCUGUUCCAGCCAGGAAGGCUCGAGGUGAGUGUGUCCUUUGCUUGGCAGGGCCCAGUGAUCACAGGAGGCUCGCCCCGAAUUUCCCCAAGACUCCCUACUGGGGCCGGGCUGAUUGCGUGCCGACAGCCCUGGGUGAAGAAACUCCGUCCAAGGGGCACCAGGAAACGGCCAUGGAUCAGGCCGCAGGCAGGGCACCCCCGCCGACCCGAAGACCCAGAUCAGACCUGGUGCCGUCCAUGCCGCUUGUCGGGCGCCACCUGGCAGUCACUUUUAGACGGUUUUCUCUGGCGCUCCAGAGAAUUUUGGAUGGGAUAUUACCCAGCUGCGGUGUCCACAGAAGCGUUCCAGGACCCUGGCAGCGGUGGCAGGCUCUUAUCGGUGUUGACCCCAUGCUAUUGCGGAAUAAAUUCCUUGACCUUGUUCCUGCAGGGAAAGAGUGCUACGGCCUGGAUAUGGUCCCACAUGGAGGCUGCUUAUCAGAUUCACUGUCCACAAGUUUAUCAAAGCCCAGCUGAUAAAAUGAACAUCACAUCCUGUUUCUCCUCCUAGUCACUUGUCCUCCUUCCCCAGGAAACCUCUAUCCAGUUGAUAGUCUGGCCUUCCAGAAGAUAUUACAAGAAGGAAGGCUUUUCAGCACAGCAUAGAUUUGAUGGCUACAGGGACAGAUAUGGGGUGUUAAUUAGCAAAUUAGGCGUCUCUUUUCUACGCUUCACUAAAGUGUACAAUUGAAAAACACUGAAGUCCGCUGCUAUGUGUCAGGCAUUGUUUAGGGGCACAGGGAGUCCCUGGCUAACAGGAAAGACAAGAUGCCUGCUCUCUUAACGAGCCUGCUCUUCAGUGUGAAAGAAAAAAAUAACCUAAGUUUAUUUAAGUUUUGCUCUCAGAUCACACGAUUAUAAAACAGGAGGAACCUGGUAGAUAGUGUAAAGUAUUUCACAGUGGGGAGACAUUAGAAAGGGGGGGUUCCUAAGGAUGAGCACUUGCUUAUAGGGAGACUAGACCUGGCUUUUCUUUAGCACUUGAAAGAUGUCAGACCUGCUGGUGGUUGGACCCAGUCGAUGCUGCUGGUGUGUGCUACCUGAUCAGAGAUGGUGAGCAUUAACCCGUUUAUACCUGAGGUUGUGCUGCUGGUGUGUGCUACCUGAUCAGAGAUGGGGAGCAUUAACCCAUUUAUACCUGAGGUUGUGCUGCUGAUGUGUGCUACCUGAUCAGAGAUGGGGAGCAUUAACCCGUUUAAACCUGAGAUCGUGUUGCUGGUGUGUGCUACUUGAUCAGAGACGGUGAGCAUUAACCCGUUUGUAUCUGAGGUUACAGUUUUUAAAUUUGAAAAAUCGGACCUUGGUGAUGACCUUGAGCAAUAGGAUAUAAAUAAUUCCCACAUGCUUGGCAUUCCAAUAAUGGAACACUAGGCAUAAAUGGGGUUAGUGCUUUCUUGAAUAAUUUAUGAGAGUCUCCAAAAGUUCCAGUUUCACCCUCCCCCAAUACCUAUUUCUCCCUAUCUUUACCUGUUCCAGAUCGGUCCUUGGUCCAGCCCCCAGAAAGGCAGGUAACCCCAGGGCAUCUUGUGCAUGUCAGGGUUAGUGGGGGGCCCAGUGUGUGUACUGUAGACACCCGUUUAUUUGUUUUGUGGUGGAGCAGUUCAUCAUGAAUCCUGCUGUUUGCACAUGAUCAGCUAAGUGAAAGGUCCAUCGCCAGCCACCGUGACGCUCAUUCCUGUGACCGCCCCCCCCACUCUCCUCUGUAUUGCCUUUGUGAUUAUAAUUUGUGUGGACCAACUCCCAUGCAGGAUAAUUUUGGACUAUCAACAUAAAGCAGCACAGCCUUGAUAAUGGGUGAUCAGAAGCUCAGUGUGUUCCUCUCUCUAUACUGAGGCUUACAGUAGACCUCCUGGGUCUUUGUGAACCCAUAGUGUUCCCCGUGGGUUCUGUGUUCCAUGACCAAUGGUUUUCAGAUGCUCAGUGUCCUUCCUGGUUGUUGGGGACCCAUACCCAGCUGGCCCCUAUGACCAUCUGACAGCACUUCAGAUGUAUGGCUGGUGGGAGGCACCUCACUCCUUGUUUGUCCUCUGAUGCCCACAUAUUUCCUACCCUUGCCUGACAGUUCAUUUGCCUCCCAGCAUAUGGCCAGAGGCACACCUUUAGCAACUCGGACAGAGCCCCCAUUCAUCCUGGGGCAGGUGGCCAGCUCUUUGUGGGAGCAUGGCAGGCAACUGCGAAGUCUUCCACAGUGGGAUAGAGAGUCCUGGGAUGUAGGGACCAGCCCUACAGGGUCUGUGGGUUUUUCUCCCCGUGUGCGGAGACGAGAGAUCAUAGAAAUAAAGACACAAGACCAAGAGAUAAAAGAAAAAACAGCUGGGCCCGGGGAACCACUACCACCAAGACACAGUGACCAGUAGUGGCCCCGAAUGCCAGGCUGCGCUGUUAUUUAUUGGAUACAAGACAAGGGGGCAGGGUGAGCAGUGUGAGCCAUCUCCAAUGAUAGGUAAGGUCAUGUGGGUCAUGUAUCCACUGGACAGGUGGCCCUUCCCUGUUUGGCAGCCGAGGUGGAGAGAAAGGAGACAGUUUAUGCCUUUAUUUUUGCAUUUCAGAGACUUUUAGUACUUUCACUAAUUCUGCUACUACCUAGAAGGCAGAGCCAGGUGUACAGGAUGGAACAUGUAAGCGGACCAGGAGCGUGACUGCUCUGAAGCACAGCAUCACAGGGAGACAGGCCUCUGGAUAACUGCGGGCGGGCCUGACGGAUGUCAGGCCCUCCACAAGAGGUGGUGGAGCAGAGUCUUCUCUAACUCCCCCGGGGAAAGGGACACUCCUUUUCCCAGUCUGCUAAGUAGUGGGUGCUUUUCCUAGGCACUGACGCUACCGCUAGACCAAAGUCGGCUAGGUAACGGGCAUCUUCCCAGGCACUGGCGUUAACGCUAGACUAAGGAGCCCUCUAGUGGCCCUGUCGGGGCAUAAUAGAAGGCUCACACUCUUGUCUUCUGGUCAUUUCUCACUGUGUCCGUUCAGCUCCUAUCUCUGUAUGGCCUGGUUUCUCUUAAGUUAUAAUUGUAGAGAGAAGAUUAUUAUUAUAAUGGAAUAAAGAGUAAUUGCUACAGACUAAUGAUUAGUAAUGUUCAUAUAUAAUCAUAUCUACGAUCUAUAUCUAGUAUAACUAUUCUUAUUUUAUAUGUUUUCUUUAUUAUACUGGAACAGCUCGUGCCCUCGGUCUCUUGCCUCGGCACCUGGGUAGCUUGCUGCCCACACUGGGAAAUGUGGCCCAGCAUGUCUCUGCAGGAAGGCAGGCCAUCCCACGAUAUCACCAGCUCCUCUAGGAGUAUAGGAGCCAAGGAGCUGCUGAGACCUGCUGAUCACCCACUCACUCCACUGCAGCCACCCCAGAGCCAUGGCUCCCGAGGCCACAUCUUGGCUGUCUUGGCGUCUCUCUGCAUCCUCAGCCUUCUGUGAUCAUGUGGAGCCCCCAGUGGCCCCCAUGGGUGCUUAUCUGAUGCUGUGCCAGCCACAGGCAAGAUGUGGGGACACGUUCUGUGACCCUCUGCAGCACUGCUACUAUGACAAUGCCAUCCUGCCCUCGGAUGGGACCCAGAGGGGUGGAACUGCACCUUCAGAGUCUGCUUCAAGAAGUGCUGCCCCUGGUCCCUCAGUCCCCCAGCGUCCCUCAUGGUGAAGAUGAAAGGCCAGAAGUGCUCCUUGACCCUGACCUCAGAUGACAGGCUUUGUCACAGGGUCUCACUCUGUUGCCCAGGCUGGAGUGCAGUGGUCUGAUCAUAGCUAAUUGCAGCCUGGAACUCUUGAGCUCAAGCAAUCCUCCUGCCACAGCCUCCCAAGUAGUUGGGACCAUAGGUGUGUACCACCAUGCCCAGCAAUUAAAAAAAAAUUUUUUUGUAAAGACUGGAUUUUGCCAUGUUGUCCAGGCUGGUCUGGGAUUCCUGGCCUCAAGCAAUUCUUCCUCCUCAGCCUCCCUAAGUGCUGGGAUUACAGGCAUGAGCCACCAUACCUGGCCACUCCUUCAUUCUUGUUGGCUUUGCGUCCCUGGAAAAAAUAAAUAAAUUCUGCCUCGGUAUGUGGCUUACCAGAGUCAUGAACGAAGGUUUCACUACAAGGCAGUUUCAUAUAUAGAAAUGAAACCAUAAGUUUCUGGGUGCUGGCUCCAAUUUUUGGAGUUGGUGUUUCUGGGUGGGCUAUCCUCAACAUUCGUGCUGGAAUAAACUCUCUUUAAAUUAGAUUCUGACCAUUUUGAUCACCAGGUUGACACCAUCCAGUCUUUGGUCACCAAAGCCCCUUUGCAAGGAGAGAGAGAUCAGCCCCUUCAAUUCUGAUAACUAUGCUCGGAGAAAAUGAGUGAUACAGCUUCCUCAUCAGCCAGCAAAGAGAGGUGUUUAGGCUGGAGAGCUUCCAUCCCUCCUGUACACGCAUGCAAUGCCACCCCAUCCCUGCCUAUCCCCUGGGAGGGGCUCCUUGAGGCCAGAUGGAACUAACACCACAAAGAUGCCAGGUGGAAGAGUCAUUCUAUUUAUUCCUGGACAAAAGAGCAAGUGAAGAGAGAGCCUUUGAGAGUGGGAAAUGUCAAGGCCCCCACAGUUUCACAUUCCAGGAGCCCAGCUCUGCUAGCCCCACCGAGGAACCCUGGGAAUGUCAGAUUUGGGUCUCAUCCAGGGAUAUCUGUGACCAAGGCCUGCCUCCCCUUCCCAGAGUGGCUGGGCCAGCGGAGGCGGGGUAGGGCAGCAGUUGGAGGCCUGUGGACUGGAGUUCAGGAGACCUGGGCUCUGGUCCAGCCUGUGUCUGUGACCAGCAGUGGGUCCUCGGACCGUGUCUUGCUUGGAUUAGAAAGUGGUAUGGGAGAAUUAAACAAAUGUCUGUCUGAGGUCAGGAUCUUGCCCUUACUUGUCAGAAAAACAGAACCUCCUUUCACCGUGGGUAGAGGUAGAGUUCCAACCCCUGAGGAUCAGUUCCACCAAGACAGAGCUGGGCUCCAGUGCCAAAGACAGACCUGUCCCCAGACAAUGGAUUGGAUAGGGUUGGGGACUCCACGGGGCUGGCGGAGGCAUUGGACAGCACUGUGUGCAAAGGCUUUUUUGACACCUGGAGAAGGGGCAGAGACAGGAGCACUGGACUAGCCCUGGCCACCCUCCCCACUUCCCAGCCUCUGAGAGCUCCCUGCGCUGUCAUGAUCUCCCUCCACUGUCUCACCCCAGGCCUGACUCAGCCACCCUGAGAGAUCAGGCUCAGGCCAAGGAGGGUCAGCUAGACUCCUCUCUCCUCGGGACACAAUCCUAAUCCUGACCCAAGAAACCUGCUUUCUCCCACCUGCAUCUAGGCCUCUACCUGCCUUGAGCCAUCCCAGGAAAUGCCUGGAAUCAUGGUUUGAGAGAUGAAGCUCGUUAUUGGAAGAUGUGUUGGGGCAUCUAAGUCAGCAGCACUUAGGCAAGAAGGAAGCCAGGCCAUGCCUGCACACUUCUUCAUUCCUUUUUAAAUUUUUUUUUUAAUUGAGACGGAGUCUCGCUCUGUAGCCAGGCUGGAGUGCAGUGGCACGAUCUCGGCUCACUGCAACCUCUGAAUCCCUGGUUCAAGCGAUUCUCCUGCCUCAGCCUCCCGAGUAGCUGGGAUUACAAGCACAUGCCACCACGACUGGCUAAUUUUUGUAUUUUUAGUAGAGAUGGGGUUUCACCAUCCUGACCUCGUGAUCUGUCCACCUGGGCCUCCCAAUGUGCUGGGAUUACAGGUGUGAGCCACCGCACCUGCCCUAAUUUUUUAAAAUUUUUAUUUUAUUUUAUUUUUUGAGACAAGAUCUCGUUCUGUCACCCAGGCUGCAGUGCAGUGAUGUGAUCUCAGCUCACUGAAACUUCCACUUCUCAGGCUCAGGAAAUUCUCCUGCCUCAGCCCCUGAGUAGCUGGGUCUACAGGCCCAUGACAUUAUGCCCGGCUAAUUCUAAUUUCUGUAUUUUUUGUAGAUAUGGGGUUUUGUCAUGUUACCCGGGCUGGUCUUGAACUCCUGAGCUUAGGUGACCAGCCUGAGUUAGCCUGUCAAAGUGCUGGGAUUACGGGUGUGAGCCACCACACCCGGCCCUUUUCUUUUCUUUUCUUCUUUUCUUUCUUUCGUUCAGGGUCUCACUCUGUUGCCCAGGCUAGAGUGCAAUGGUCUUAUCAUGACUAAUUUCAACCUGGAACUCUUGAGCUCAAGCGUUCCUCCUGCUACAGCCUCCCAAAUAGCUGAGACCACAGGUGUGUGCCACCAUGUCCAGCUUUAAAAAAAGAACUUUUGUAAAGACUGGAUUUUGCCAUGUUGCCCAGGUUGGUCUUGAACUCCUGGCCUCAAGCAAUUCUUCCUCGUCAGCCUCCCUAAAUGCUGAGAUUACAGGCAGGAGCCACCAUACCUGACCACUUCAUUCUUGUUGGUUUUGCUUCACUGGAAAAAAUAUAAAUUCUGCCUCAAUAUGUGACUUACCACAGUCAUGAAGGAAGAUUUCACUAUAAGGCAGUUCAUAAAAAUCUGUGCAGUGUACACUAACCCAUUUUUGUGUCUGUUUCUUGAAUUAAAAAAAUUAGAUCUAUGACAUACUCAAGCAGUUAUACCACCCAAUAAAAUGUUGCCACCCUUAGUAUGGAGGACACUACUCUUUCCUGAGCUGCAAAUGGAGAAGCCAGGAGAGCAGGGAGCAAUGGAGAAGGAGAACACGCUGUCCCCUCUCCACAAGGGAGGAAGAGGACUGCAGGCCCCUUGUGAUUGCACCAUUACCCAGCUCCAGACUCAACCCUCCUCUCCACCCUCCUCACAAGAGAGAUGCAGGGAUGUUCUACAAACAUAAAUCCGAUCACUUCCAUCCCCUGCUUAGGCCUGGGCCAUGGUCAGUGCCCUCAGGAUAGACUGGAGUUCUCCAAGGGCCCAUAAAAAUGCCCCAGCCUUGCUGCCCACUCCAGUCUCCUCUUCCUACCUUGCAUUCUGGCCUCUCUGGGUUGAGCUUUGUCAAAACAGGCGCAGUUCUCAUUCAUUCUUGAAAUAGUAGCUCAAAUGUCUUCUUCUCCUAGAAGACAUCGCUGGCCUUCCAGGCUGGGUGAGGCAACCACUGUGGGCUCCCAAGCCUUUACGCGUCCCCAACCCAGCCCUGACUCUCUGAGUCAUCAAGGCCUGAGGACAAUCUAUGUUCCCAGUGAUGGCACAUGGCCCGCUAUUAUGUCUCUGCUGUGUCCUCAGCAGCACGUCGGGGUAAGGAUGAUUAGGUUUUAAUGGGAUAGUAACGGGCGUGUGAUUGGUUGCCAGGGAGGGAGUAAAAGUGUCCCAUACUUGUGGGUUAAGGUUGGGGGAUACAAGAGGAAGACGUGAAGGAAGCUUUAGGUUGGGGAGAAGGGCGGCACUGAGAUGUGGCUGUAGUCCAGGAAUAGUCAGGGUAGUGGAUAAUUUUGUUAAGAUGUAAAGGAUCAUUAACCUUGACUAUGCCUUCAGCUCCAGCCACCUCUCUUAAGAGGAAAUUGCUGGGCAGGUUGGGGAGGGCUAGUCACGGAACAAAACUGUAAGCUGGACCGGUUGUGAGUGGGGGAGGUGAUAGAAGGAUUAUAGGGUGGGAGAGUGGAAGCUGAGGAAGAACUGGGACCUGGCUUGGCCUGGUGAGGAGCAGCGUGGGGAGGAGGGGAGAGGUCAGAUGAGUUCACAGAAAAGGAGGAUUUAAAGGACUCAGAGCUUGGGGUGGAGACUGAAGGAACAGACAGGAGAGAAAGAAGAAAGAUCUGGAAUGAGUCACAUUGGGAGCAGAGACUAGGGAGGAACCGAUGUGUAAAAGAAUGCCUGGACAUCAGGCACCUCAGACCAUUUGCCCAUUUUUCGACAAAAUUAUCUAGAUCUUGUAGGAUGGGGAAAUCAAAAGUGCCAUUUUCUGGCCAUUAGAACAAUUGUUAAGUUUGUAUUGGGGCCAAAUGCUGUUGCCGAAGAAAAUAAGAUGCUUAGGUUUUGGGUCAGGUGAGAGUUGAAGAGGUUUUAAGUUUUUUAGAACAUGGGCUAAGGGAGAAGAAGGAGGAAUGGAGGGUGGAAGGUUGCCCGUAGUAGAAAGGUAAGUUUAGAGAAAAGAGAGGGUAGAGACAUGGAGAGGGGGGUUGGUACUUGCCACCCAGGGGAGGUGGUACUUGCCACCAAGGUGAAGGAUCAAGGCAGGCGUCCCUGCAGUGGUCAGACACCUCUGGAAAGUGGGUGAAUAAUCAGACAUGCAUCCCCACAGUGAUUAGACACCAAGGGAAGACUGUCUUCCCGAGUCUGUGACCAGCAGCAGAAUUUUGAGUUCAUGGACAAAACGUGUCUCCUCUGUCUCUACCAGAAAGGGAAAGGAACCAAAAUUAAGGGAGGGAGAGAUUAAAGGGUGGAGGGAUAUCUAGCAAGAGAGGUUGGAGAAGAGAAUGAAAAGAGGCUACUUACCCGAUUUAAAAUUGGUGAGAAGUUCCUUCGGCUGGGCUGAGGACCCGAGGUCAUGGGUGGAUCUCACGGAGAGAGGGCGAGGACAGGGGACCGGUCUCCCGAAGGAGUCCUCCUGUCUCAGGUCUUCGGCACCAAAUGUCACAUGAGUCCGUGCGAAGAGAGUCCACCAACAGGCUUUGUGUGAGCAACAAGACUGUUUAUUUCACUUGGGUGCAACUGGGCUGAAUCUGAAAAGAGAGUCAGCAAAAGGAGAUAGGGGUGCAGCAGUUUCAUAGGAUUUGGGUAGGUAGUGGAAAAUUACAGUUAAAGAUGGUUAUCUCUUGUGGGCAGGGGUGGGGGUCACAAGGUGCAGGGUGGGGAGAUCAUGAGACUCAUUGUCUGGGGGAGGAAUGUCACAAGGUUGAUGGAUUAGUUGGGGUGGGGCAGGAACAAAUCACAAUGAUGGAAUGUCAUCUUUUGUGGUUCUUCAGUUGCUCCAGGCCCUCUAGAUGUAUACGUGCACGUCACAGGGGUUGUGAUGGCUUAGCUUGGGCUCAGAGGCCUGACGCCAGAGAGUUGGCCAACACCCCAGUACAGUUGGCCAGCUGCACUAGAGCUGCUUUGUUCUCCUGAUUUGAAUUUCAGUGGUUUCUUACAGUUUUUGCUGCUGCUGCAGAGCAUUUAAGCAGGAAGGGAUCCAGUUCAACCAUCCAGGGACUGGCACCCAAGUUCUUGUUGCAGGUAGCAGGGACCAGCUUGCAAGCUUGAAGUGUGCAGAUGGAACACAGAGCACUCCAGCCACCCAGGCAGAUAUCAGAGGAUGGGCCUUCAGGCACUGAUUCCUGUGUGUCACCUGGGAGAGGCUCCCUGAGGCCAGGUGGAAAUCAUACCCGGAUGCCACCAGAAUAAUGAUUCAGCCCUUUCCGCGCUUGUUCCAGAGGGGAAGCCCAUGAGAGGAGGACACCCAGUGCUCUCCUGUGUGCCAUGUUCCAGAAGCUCAGGUCUCCCACCAGCAGCUGGGGUUGUGGGAAAGUCUUCCCUGAGGCCAGCCCCGGGGUGCCUGGGAUCAGGGCCUGCUUGCCUUUCUGGGGGAGCUGGGCCUGGGACUGAGGGGGGUUGCUGGGCUAAGACAGGGAUACCUGGGUCCAGUCUAGAUGGUGUCUGUGACCUGCAGGGGCCCCUCAUGCCAGGGUGCUCUUUACAUAGAGGGAACUAGGGUGAGAAAAUAUGACCAACAGAUGUUGGAGUUUACUCUUAUUUCCCAGGAAGCCAUGAGAAUCCUGUGACCCUGGAAAGAGACAGGGUUCCCAAUAACUAGGGACAUGGCAGUGAGUGGGACAGCCCUGCUCCCUGUCCUCAAACAGCUCUAGGUCCACUGUCCCUAGACAGUGACAACACAGAGUGGGCAGCUCUGGGAUGUGGAAUGCACAGGCGGUUGCUUCGGGAAUUUUGAUAUGGGGUUUUAGCAGCUCCUGCUGCUUGCUGGGAAAAAUCCCUCAGGGAAUUGUAAUGGACUUCAGGAGAAAUGACACACAGGUGCUCGUGUAUAUGAAAUAAGUUGUUGUUUUGUUUUUUGUUUGUUUUUGAGACAGUCUCACUCCGUCGCGCAGGCUGGAGUGCAGUGGCAUGAUCUCGGCUCACUGCAACCUCUGCCUCCCGGGUUCAAGCACUUCUCCUGCCUUAGCCUCCCAAGUAGCUGGGAUUACAGGUACCUGCCACCACACUCAGCUAAUUUUUUUUUUUUUUUUUUUUUGUAGUUUGAGUAUAGACGGGCUUUUGCCAUGUUGGCCAUGCUGUUCUCAAACUCCUGACCUCAGGUGAUCCACCUGCCUUGGCCUCCCAAAGUGCUGGGAUUACAGGCGUCAGCCACCGUGCCCAGCAUGAAAUAAAUUUUAUAACCUGAAUAGGACCCAGUAAUAUAGGAGUUAAGAAGAAAUUAUUUUAGGCAGAUAGUGAAGGUAAGAAAGUCCUUGGUAAGGUUUUUCUUUUAAUGAAAAGCACCCUCCAAAUCAUAUACUUUUCUAACAAACAGCAGCCAUUAAAAUCAAGCCGCAGACAUAGAAAGGCAGGCUAGAAGCUUCCACAGGUGAAUGCCAGCAUUUGUGCCAAUAGGAAAAGGCUACCUGGGACUAGGCAUUUUCAAAAUGGCAGCUCCAUCUUCCCUUUUCUUUUCCAACCACAUGCACAGUAGAAAGCAGAUAACAUGGCAUCCACCAAGUGGAAAGUCCAUUUGCGUAAUAAGAUUAGGGUGGGGUGGUCAGCUUCUUCGAGCACUAUGUAAAUGUCACAGCUGUCAUUUACAACCAAUCUGUGGGCCCUAUGGAAAUCAGACACCACCUCUUCAAACCCGUCUAUAAAAUCCAGUGCACUCUGCUGUAGGCUGGAAGUCCCAUUCAGGUGCUGAGAGAGAGAGAGAGCUGUUCUUCUUUCUCUCUCUUUUGCCUAUUAAACCCCUGCUUCUAAACCCACUUCUUGUGUCCAUGUACUCGAUUUUCUUGGUUUGAGACAAUGAACCUUGUGUAUUUACCCCAGAUGAUGACGCCACAUUACCAGUGUCAGCACUCCCCAAGAAGAAGGAUUCAGGCUUGGUCCAGUGUGAAGCAAAUGGGCCGUUAAACACGUGGCUUUGGCUAGUUUUUGAGCAUGGGGCUAUGGUGAGGGUUGCUGCAUGUGGGCUGGGGCUUGAGUGGUUUGAACGUCCUUCUGCUGCCAAGACAGAAAGCGCAUGGUGUGCCUAGAUGUGCAUUGGAGGUGACUGAGGAAGGGCUGGGAAGCCGACAGUAUCCAAAAAUCUAAUGUUGUUGUCAUACAGGGAGAUGAACAGGGCUACUGGAAAAUAGCUUAUCUGACCCUUUGAGAAAAUGUAGAGAGAAGAGUCCAACCCAGGGCUGUUUGACCACAAAGUCUCAGGAUUGCUGAGAGAGGGACUCUUGCAUCCACAGAGCCCUGGCCCUGCCUUGCUGCCCUCCUUCCAACCCAGCUUCUGACACCCCCUGCCCCGUCAUCAUCUCCCUCUGCUGUUCUCUACCCAGCCUGACUCAGCCGCCCUGACAGAUGGGGACCAAGGCCAAGGAGGGCCAGCUGGGCUCCUCUCUUCCAAGAGAUGGCAACUCCAGCCUUGCCCUCAGGAAUGUGCUUUUCUCCCUGGCACUGGCUGCUCUCCAGGCCUAAAUUCAACCCUGUUUUUAGCACAGAAAACCAGGCCAAAUGCCACACCCAGUCUCAGCAUACGAAGCACCUAGAACUGACAAUGUGAGCUCUGAAUUCUUUGUGUGUGGGGGGGGCGGAGGGGAGGGGAGCAACAUGCCCGGACAGGUAGUCAGUGAUUUUUAAGAAAGAUGGAGGCGAACUUAUACCCAGAGGAUUUUUCCUUCCAGUGUUUAGUAACUGUUUGGCUGUGACUUGCUAGGAAGCACUCAUAUUACAUCAGUCCAAAAGAAAGUUUAAUUGAACACUGAUGAAUAAGACACUGUGCCAUGCACACUCUUCUAUUUCUUUUGAUUCUAGUUGAAUGUAUAAGAUACCCAUGUUGAUGAAUAAAUUGAUUCACAACCUGAGAGUGUCACAAUCCCCAUGUUGGAGAUCACUGCUCUACCCUGCAGCUUCAGGAGAGGGGAGGCUAGAAGGCAAAGUGAGAAAUGGGGUCGGGGGUGUGAGUGCUUAUCUCAUCCACCCAUGACAGCGAGUGGGCCUGCAGGACUCUGGAAAUUGCAUGAGAAUUUCUGCUCCAUCAGCUUCCUGCCUGGUCUCCUGCUCCCAUCUCAAUCCUCUCACCCACCCUCCUCCCAGCAGAAGGACACACGGAUUUUCCUGAAUCACAAUCUGAUCACUUCUAUCCCCUGCUUAAGACCUGUCUGUAGCUUGAGUACACUGAGAAGAACAGUUCUCACCAAGGCUCAUAAGGGGAGAUGGACAGGGGAAGCAAUGGGGAUGGUGGGAGCUUCCCUGGCCUUCCUGGACACUCCAUCCUCUCAGCACCUCCACAUGUUCAGCAAGUGGGAAGUUCAACUCUAGUUUUUCAAGAGUUUUUAUGAAGUUUGGUCCUUAUCUCCUCGCCAUUGCCACUUUUCUUGGAAGUUGGUGGGUGAUACUGAAAGUUUCCACCCUCUAAUCCUCAAAUCUUUUGGUCUUUGUGAUGACUGGCAUGAUACUGAGGCUACCUGGGGACCCUUCCCUAAAUCACAUUUUUUUUUUUUUGAGAGGGAGUCUCACUCUGUCACCCAGGCUGAAGUGCAGUGGCAUGAUCUCAGCUCACUGCAACCUCUGCCUUCCAGGUUCAAGCAAUUCUUCUGCUUCAGCCUCCCGAGUAGCUGGGAUUACAAGCGCCCACCAGCAUGCCCAGCUAAUUUUUGUAUUUUUCGUAGAGACGGGGUUUUGUCAUGUUGGCCAGGCUGUUCUCAAACUCCUGACCUCAGAUGAUCCACCCGCCUUGGCCUCCCAAAGUGUUGGGAUUACAGGUGUGAGCCACCGCACCUGGCCCCUAAAUCACAUUUUUAGCAUGAACUCAGCUGGUGUGAUCUGAAAGAGUCUCAUCUGGAAGAACAAAAGACAUUCCUAUCACUCAGGAAAUUCCAAGUUUAGCUUCAUGGUAGGAACAAGAGUCAAAGAACAAACAUUUUCAUGUUAUAGCACACCCAGUAAGCCAUGGGUUCAUCAGAUUGGACUCUCCUUGCUCUGCCAAAUUGGCAGCAUUUGUGAGUUAGCAAUCCCAAGGGAGGACUCCCACUGCAGGGAGGAUGGCAAAGGUCACCACUGCGCUAACCACCCGGAAUAGGGGUCUGAACACUUCAGCCACCGCAUCUUGGGCUGCACUCUGACUGCACUGAGCAUGGUGAACAGAACACCCACAACCACAGCCAGUUCGACAAAGCAGGUUAAUUACUUACAGACAGGCAGCGAGGGACAGCGGAAGCCUAGGCUUCAUGACUGUUCAUCUCUCUGUACGACAAGAACAUUCAAUUUUUGGAUAUUGUCAGCUUCCCAGCUCUUCCUCAGUCACAUCCAAUGCACAUCUGGGCAUACCAUGUGCUUUCUGUCUUGGCAGCAGAAGGACAUUCAAACUGGUCUCCCGAGGCUCAGGAGCACUGCCCAGGGCAGAUAGUCUCCCAUGCCUGCCCCACUUGCACCACAGCUGAGGACUCAGCAGUGAGCUCUGGGUUUUAUAUGUGGUGGACACGCCCUGGGCUAGUGUGGCAGGACACCCCCUCUAGGAGGGAUGGGAAUGAGGCCAGGGCUGUCCUGGGCAGUUUCUCUUUAGCUCAAGGUGUUGCAUUCUCUCGGAGGAAUAGAAACCAAGCUUGGGCACUUUCAGGCAGUUCCUCCUUACUCAGGAUGGUGCAUUCUUAUAUAAUUUGGCUCUGUCUUGCCACACAAAUCUCAUCUCACAUUGUAAUCCCCAUGUGUCAGGGGAAGGAUCUGGUAGGUGAUUGGAUCAUGGGGGCAGUUUUUUCCAUGCUGUUCUCCUGAUAGUGGGGGAGUUCUCAGGAGAUCUGAUGGUUUAAAAGUGUGUAGAAGUUCCCGGCUCGCUCUCUUUCUCUCCUGCCACCAUGGAAGGCGUGCCUUGCUUUUCCUUCACCCUCCAGCAUGAUUGUACAUUUCCUGAGGCCACCUUGGCAUGCAGAACUAUGAGUCAAUUAAACCUCUUUCCUUUAUAAAUUACCCAGUCUCAGGUAGUUUUUUUUAGCAGUGUGAAAAUGGACUAAUACACAUUUCUAGUGUAUUCUACAGUGAUUCUGGGAACUGUGGGCAAGAAGAGAGGUGGGAAAGCCAGAGCCAUCCAAUGCUUGUCUUCUGGUGCCCUCCUCCAGGAAGCCAUUCCUGGUGCCCUGGGCGCUGCUCCCAGCCUUGCUCACCCUGGGUCAUCACUGUUUUUGGAGGGGUCUGUGUCCUCCCCAGACUAUAAGACCCAGAAAAGCAGGGCCUGGAGCUAAGUCACAGUCGUGUCCCCAGCAUCCACUGACACAGAGUAAGUGCAUAGCGUGUGUUAAACGAAUGAAAGAAAAGUGAAAGCAUGAUGAAAGCCCUGUGUUCAGGGUGUGUCUCACUCAACCUGUCUGUCCUGUCAUGGUGACUUGGUGAGAAUUGUUGCCUGAAGGUCUUUAAAGCUCUCUCCCUUCCAGGGCUUCCGCAUGGAGCUGCUUCUCAGCUGUGCCCUACGGGGUCAGAUGCACUGGGGAAGAACUAAGGCUCUUCUCCACAGCACACCUUUUGUCCCCUUAGCCCUCCCAACAUAGGACACACCACGUCCAGGGCUGCAGGAGCCCAGGCUGUCAACAGCAUCAGCAUCCUGCUAGAAGAGGGUAGGGAUGGCUGGUACUCACAAGAGCCUUCUAGAUUCCUAAGUUUAUUAAUCCUUUCACUGCAACUACUAGGAAAAAUAGGUGUGGCAUCAUUACUGGGUUACACACAGUCACACACACACACAAAAAGCGAAAGCAAAAAUUGUCAAGAAUAUGUCAGCUUCCCUCAGGGGAGUGGCUUCUUCAACUUUGAUCUAAAAUGACUUAUUUCAGAGGAAACCUCCUCCCCUCUCCUCAGAACAAGCACAUUCACACAGGAAGGGAUUAAAUUCCUGCAAAGAAGAAGGAAAACCUUCCACUGGUCCUUUGGUCUUAACUAUCCUGGGCCAUAAUGUAUUUAGAGUCCAGUAAUGACUGUGGACUUUUUUGCUCAGAAUAUCACAGAUGAUUGCCAAACGUUGUGAAAUGCCACUGAAUUGCACACUUGAAAACACACACAUACACAUGAAAACUUAAGUAAACACAUAUACUUAAUUGUGGGGGCUGCAGCGGGGGGAGCAGAAAGAAACAUCCAGACAUCUGGUGGUAAAUAUUCUGCUCUGGUUCAGCUAAAAAUAAAGCCCUUCAUCAGUUUGGUCACUGGAAGGACUCGUUCC